rnacentral:lncRNA from 1 species
UGCCAUUCACGUUUGUACAGGGUGAACUCUGUUAUGUUCGUCUAUUUACUCGGUGGUUACUAGAGAAUAUAUUGCAUGUGCCCUGUCUUGGUUGAUAGUGUAUCUUGCUCUUGCUUUCUUACGGUCGAGGAGAUGGAUAGAUAUAGAUUCUAGGCAUGUCCUUGGUCCUUGCAAAAGAGGUUUUUUUUUUGCUGCCUUCAUUGCUUUAUUUGGUACCUUGCUCUUUCCACUGUCGAUCAGGAGACAAAUUUGGCAUCAACCCCUGUCCUUGCUCUUUGCAGAGGAGGAUUUUGUUCUUUUCUUCGAUGGAUGUACAUUUUGCUCAUCUGCUGACCAUUAUGUCUUUCCAACCUGCAGUAUUUCUCGGUUCGCUAUACAGGGAUGGAACUUGCAGAACACAUUAAUUUACCGGUAGAUGGCGUGUGUGUUGAACUCGUGUGUGGAUGCGCAACGGGGCAAGUCUGUGUGAUGUAAGGUGUGGACAGAAGAGCGACAAUAACUACGGGGUUGGUCAAAGAUUGAAAGAAAUCUCUUAUGUGUCUUCGGCUUCGACACUGUGUCUUCGGCUUCGACACUACGCAUAGGAAGUCGUUGCUGAUAAUCCAAUCUUUGAAAAGGUUAGUUCAAGGUUCAUAACGCAGGUUCAUGUGGCGCAUGAAAUGUUGAAGUCAAGACGAUCAGGUGGAUCUAUCAAAAAAAUAUGCUUCUGUGGAACUACAUAGGUUCUUUGUUGCCGCUGUGGCUUGAUUUUGUUGUAUGAAAAGUACAUUGUCUGUAUCAAAUUUGAUGUGGAUUGACGAACGGUUCUACUGACAAAAUCCCUUAUGGUUACUUUGCAUUUGCUACAUGUGACUGCCUUGCCUUCUGCCAUGACUUUGACAAAUGA